GCAAACGCUGGCGGCAUGCCUAACACAUGCAAGUCGAACGGAGUGGCGGAUGGGUGAGUAACGCGUGAGUGACCUGCCCAGCAGUGGGGAAUAACAGUGAGAAAUCAUUGCUAAUACCGCAUACUGUUGGAUGGGCUUGCGUAUGCUUAGCCAGUUGGUGGGGUAACGGCCUACCAAAGCAAUGAUCAGGAGCCGGCUUGAGAGGGUGAACGGCCCCAUUGGGACUGAGACACGGCCCAAACGACUACGGGGGGCAGCGGGGGGGAAUCUCCCGCAAUGGGCGCAAGCCUGACGGAGCAAUGCCGCGUGAGUGAAGAAGGCCUUCGGGUUGUAAACCGCUUUCAGUCAUGCGGUAGUGGCCGAAGAAGCACCGGCUAACUACGUGCCAGCAGCCGCGGUAUUC
rnacentral:rRNA from 1 species